rnacentral:misc_RNA from 1 species
CAGAGUUGAAAAACUCCCAAACCAUUGUGAACAUACCUUUACGUUGCUUCGGCGGGCAGCCCCCUGGGGCCGCAGCCUCCUCGUGAGGCGCCCGCCGGAGGUAUCAAACUCUUUGUAUUAUUUGUUUUCUCUGAGUUGUCUUAUAAAUAAGUCA